UGCCAGACUCCUACGGGAGGCAGCAGUGAGGAAUAUUGGUCAAUGGGCGAGAGCCUGAACCAGCCAAGUCGCGUGAAGGAUGACGGCCCUACGGGUUGUAAACUUCUUUUGUCAGGGAGCAAUUGAGUCCACGUGUGGUCUUAGCGAGAGUACCUGAAGAAAAAGCAUCGGCUAACUCCGUGCCAGCAGCCGCGGUAAUACGGAGGAUGCGAGCGUUAUCCGGAUUUAUUGGGUUUAAAGGGUGCGUAGGCGGAAUAUCAAGUCAGCGGUAAAAAUUCGGGGCUCAACCCCGUCGUGCCGUUGAAACUGGGGAUCUAGAGUGUGCGAGAGGUAUGCGGAAUGCGUGGUGUAGCGGUGAAAUGCAUAGAUAUCACGCAGAACCCCGAUUGCGAAGGCAGCAUACCGGCGCUCAACUGACGCUGAAGCACGAAGGCGUGGGUAUCGAACAGGAUUAGAUACCCCAGUAAUG
rnacentral:rRNA from 1 species